rnacentral:rRNA from 1 species
UAACUGGGCGUAAAGGGCACGCAGGCGGUGACUUAAGUGAGGUGUGAAAGCCCCGGGCUUAACCUGGGAAUUGCAUUUCAUACUGGGUCGCUAGAGUACUUUAGGGAGGGGUAGAAUUCCACGUGUAGCGGUGAAAUGCGUAGAGAUGUGGAGGAAUACCGAAGGCGAGGGCAGCCCCUUGGGAAUGUACUGACGCUCAUGUGCGAAAGCGUGGGGAGCAAACAGGAUUAGAUACCCUGGUAGUCCACGCUGUAAACGAUGUCGAUUUGGGGGUUGAGCUUUGAGCUUGGCGCCCGUAGCUAACGUGAUAAAUCGACCGCCUGGGGAGUACGGCCGCAAGGUUAAAACUCAAAUGAAUUGACGGGGGCCCGCACAAGCGGUGGAGCAUGUGGUUUAAUUCGAUGCAACGCGAAGAACCUUACCUACUCUUGACAUCCAGAGAACUUUCCAGAGAUGGAUUGGUGCCUUCGGGAGCUCUGAGACAGGUGCUGCAUGGCUGUCGUCAGCUCGUGUCGUGAG